rnacentral:lncRNA from 10 species
CAGAAAGACCCGGGGACAUCCUGCAUCUCUGCAGAUUGAAGCAACAGGAGGGACUCUGUCCUUAUCUAAGAACACUUAUCUCCAAAGAAAUGCAAUUGUCUAAGACACCUUCCCUAGGAAUCUCAUCAAGUAACCAGAAGAGACUGGGAGUCGUCACCACAUCCAGACUUUUCAUCUGUUCUUCUGAGGGCAGCUCUAAGGGAUUACCUGGAGGACUUUUACCUGCAUAAUAAGCCAAUAUUUGUUCCUGUGCAGUUCCACCCCUCACCUGGUACAUCAAACCUGUCUGUCUCAUCCAGCUUGCAAAGAGAAUCACUUUCAAAAUAAUAUCUGUCUCCAGGUCCAUACAUCUCUCCUAUGAAG